AGUCCUAGGAGAGGUCCAUGUGGUAUGGAGUGGAGGCCUCUUUCCAACAGCCAGUGAGGAACUGAGGCCUUGCACCAACAGCAUGCCAUGCUAUGGAGAUUGCACAAUGGACCUAUUGCUUCAAAGGAGAGUCACACAACACUCCCCAGCCACUGUGUUGACAGCCCUGGGCUGGAGGAAAGGCAGCAGUCUUCACAGAGCUCACUUUACGGCUGGGCUCACCCUUCACCCCAAGACAGCUUUGAUCACUGGGAAGUUUCCACAAACACAGAAUGAAUGAGGAAGAAGGUGAUUAUAUUUUCGGUGUGAUCCACGUGGACGAGAGGUGUUGCAUGUUUUUACAAAUUGAAGAUCUGUGACAACCCUGG
rnacentral:lncRNA from 1 species